rnacentral:rRNA from 1 species
AGUAGUUUGACUCCGUGGCUCAGGACACGCUGGCGGCGUGCUUCAUACAUGCAAGUCGAACGAGAAUCUCCAGCUUGCUGGAGAGGAAAGUGGCGGACGGGUGAGUAAUAUGUAGAGAAUCUGCCCUUGAGCGGGGGACAACAGAGGGAAACUUCUGCUAAUACCCCAUAUGAGCUUGGUUGAAAUACCAAUCUUGAAAACUCCGGUGCUCAAGGAUGAGUCUGCAUCUGAUUAGCUUGUUGGCGGUGUAAUGGACCACCAAGGCGACGAUCAGUAGCUGGUUUGAGAGGAUGAUCAGCCACAAUGGGACUGAGACACGGCCCAUACUCC